rnacentral:lncRNA from 1 species
CUUGAGAGGUCUCCUCACCCGUAGUAACCCUGCCGGGUUACUGCUACUAUCUCACCCGUGUUCUGUGAUAACUCAUCUCAACCCGGGAUGUCAAAAUGGCCUUAACAAAUGCUGACCCUGAGAGUUUUCCUGCAGGAAUUUAAAGAGAGAGAGGUGUGGGGCCCGCAGCGGACUCCUCCGGGGGACGCGGAAUCCAGGUCAGAUCAUCACCUGUAGGGUGACCAUACCUAAGCUGCCCUCUCCCCGUGCUAAUGUCCUAAGAUGAGGAACCAAAUCUAGUCAGAGAAAGCUCAGACAAGGGUGCAGAAUAUGUAAGUGAUACCCUUGGGAUGUCGGUCCUAGGAUUUGCAGCCGACAUGGGGAAAAGUGGACUCUGGGGAGGGGUGCGGGGGAGAGACCGUAGGAGACCUUUCUGUCCUUUUCCCUUGGGCUCGAGGCCCUGAUCCAAUCCCCACGCCCUCACUAGAAUGUAUCCACGUCAGCAGGACUGAAUAACUACUUCAUUAAACAAACACUGUACUCAUUGGGGCCCUGGGGGUACUGCCAUUCCUGUGUGGUAUUUUAAUAUUAUAAUGUAUUGCAUCUUUAAUGUAUUAAAUUCAUUUUUUUUGUUGUACUAUACCGGUUGGCAUUUUAUUAAAAUAAAUUGUAUUGUACCAUAUUUGUAUGUUUUAAGAGAAAAUAAUAUAAAAUACAAUACUUGUGCUAUUAUAUAGCGCAAAACCUACAAA